AAUAAUACACUCUAACAUGAAUACACCUUAAUAGAGUAUAGAGCCCCCCGGGACAUAUUCCAAUGAUGCAAAGGAUUAUGAUGAAGUAUACUUAAUCUUGCUAGCAGUCGCAGUGCGAGAGUUUAAUUCCUGAAACAUGGAUUGAAACUCUUUGUAGGCACCAGUGUACAGAUAUCUCUUGUUUUCUAAUCUGUUGGGACACAUCCCGCGAUUAACUUCUCUUACGAUGCUCCAGGG
rnacentral:lncRNA from 1 species